AACGAACGCUGGCGGCAGGCUUAACACAUGCAAGUCGAACGGGUGUAGCAAUACAUCAGUGGCAGACGGGUGAGUAACACGUGGGAACCUUCCUAGGGGUACGGAACAACUCAGGGAAACUUGAGCUAAUAACGUAUACGUCCGUGAGGAGAAAGAUUUAUCGCCCUUAGACGGGCCCGCGUCGGAUUAGCUAGUUGGUGGGGUAACGGCCUACCAAGGCGACGAUCCGUAGCUGAUCUUAGAGGAUGAACAGCCACACUGGGACUGAGACACGGCCCAGACUCCUACGGGAGGCAGCAGUGGGGAAUCUUGGACAAUGGGCGCAAGCCUGAUCCAGCCAUGCCGCGUGAGUGAAGAAGGUCUUCGGAUUGUAAAGCUCUUUUGCCAGGGACGAUAAUGACGGUACCUGGAGAAUAAGCCCCGGCAAACUUCGUGCCAGCAGCCGCCGUAA
rnacentral:rRNA from 1 species